AUUGAACGCUGGCGGCAUGCCUUACACAUGCAAGUCGAACGGCAGCAUGAUCUAGCUUGCUAGAUUGAUGGCGAGUGGCGAACGGGUGAGUAAUACAUCGGAACGUGCCCUGUAGUGGGGGAUAACUAGUCGAAAGAUUAGCUAAUACCGCAUACGACCUGAGGGUGAAAGUGGGGGACCGCAAGGCCUCAUGCUAUAGGAGCGGCCGAUGUCUGAUUAGCUAGUUGGUGAGGUAAAGGCUCAACAAGGCGACGAUCAGUAGCUGGUCUGAGGGGACGAUCAGCCACACUGGGACUGAGACACGGCCCAGACUCCUACGGGAGGCAGCAGUGGGGAAUUUUGGACAAUGGGGGCAACCCUGAUCCAGCAAUGCCGCGUGUGUGAAGAAGGCCUUCGGGUUGUAAAGCACUUUUGUCCGGAAAGAAAUCGCACUUACUAAUAUUAGGUGUGGAUGACGGUACCGGAAGAAUAAGGACCGGCUAACUACGUGCCAGCCGCCGCAGUAACAC
rnacentral:rRNA from 1 species